UCCGUAGCUCAGCUGAUAAGAGCAUGAGUUUCUUAACCCCAGGGUCCUGGGUUUGAGACCCACGUUGGGCAAAA